rnacentral:rRNA from 1 species
UGGGGAAUUUUGGACAAUGGGCGAAAGCCUGAUCCAGCAAUGCCGCGUGUGUGAAGAAGGCCUUCGGGUUGUAAAGCACUUUUGUCCGGAAAGAAAUCCUUGGCUCUAAUACAGUCGGGGGAUGACGGUACCGGAAGAAUAAGCACCGGCUAACUACGUGCCAGCAGCCGCGGUAAUACGUAGGGUGCAAGCGUUAAUCGGAAUUACUGGGCGUAAAGUGUGCGCAGGCGGUUUGCUAAGACCGAUGUGAAAUCCCCGGGCUCAACCUGGGAACUGCAUUGGUGACUGGCAGGCUAGAGUAUGGCAGAGGGGGUAGAAUUCCACGUGUAGCAGUGAAAUGCGUAGAGAUGUGGAGGAAUACCGAUGGUGAAGGCAGCCCCCUGGGCCAAUACUGACGCUCAUGCACGAAAAGCGUGGGGGAGCAAAACAGGAUUAGAUACCCCUGGUAGUCCACGCCCUAAACGAUGUCAACUAGUUGUUGGGGAUUCAUUUCCUUAGUAACGUAGCUAACGCGUGAAGUUGACCGCCU